GCUAGGCGUGGUGGCUCAUGCCUGUAAUCCCAGCACUUUGGGAGGCCGAGGUGGGUGGAUCACCUGAGGUCAGGAGUUGGAGACCAGCCUGGUCAACAUGGUGAUACCCCAUCUCUA
ensembl:misc_RNA Metazoa_SRP Metazoan signal recognition particle RNA